AGUGAACGCUGGCGGUAGGCUUAACACAUGCAAGUCGAACGGCAGCACAGUAAGAGCUUGCUCUUACGGGUGGCGAGUGGCGGACGGGUGAGGAAUACAUCGGAAUCUACUUUUUCGUGGGGGAUAACGUAGGGAAACUUAAGCUAAUACCGCAUACGACCUACGGGUGAAAGCAGGGGAUCUUCGGACCUUGCGCGAUUGAAUGAGCCGAUGUUGGAUUAGCUAGUUGGCGGGGUAAAGGCCCACCAAGGCGACGAUACGUAGCUGGUCUGAGAGGAUGAUCAGCCACACUGGAACUGAGACACGGCCCAGACUCCUACGGGAGGCAGCAGUGGGGAAUAUUGGACAAUGGGCGCAAGCCUGAUCCAGCCAUACCGCGUGGGUGAAGAAGGCCUUCGGGUUGUAAAGCCCUUUUGUUGGGAAAGAAAAGCAGCAGGUUAAUACCCCGCUGUUCUGACGGUACCCAAAGAAUAAGCACCGGCUAACUUCGUG
rnacentral:rRNA from 1 species